GCAAAUGGCGGCACCUAUAACGUGGCGCCCGUUAAUUAUACCAUCGGGCUUAACCGGAAUUAAUUCCGAGACAGCGUUAGCUUGGUAGCACAGGACGACAGCAGGUCGAGAGGAUUUCUGCACGACAGUGAGAACGGCCGAAUCACGUUUCAUCGUGCCAUUAUUACCGUCCCAGUACGAGGCUUAACUCGUGGGAUCGCACGAGCAUCGAAAGUGACGCACCCACCAGCAUCGAAAGUGGCGCCCCCACGAGCAUCGAAAGUGGCGCCCCCUCCUUAUCUUUUCGAACUGCGAAAAGUGAGACGGAAAUAUUACACACGGAUGAAUCAUCGGAGAAGACGCAUCUGUGUAAAUUAGAGGAACGAGCGCCAAUUUUAUAUACUUUAAUUAUUAAAAUUAAAAAUUAUUGUAAAAAAUCGUAAUAAAAUAAUAACUCGAUCCUCAGAUCGGUUUUUGAACAUCAA